UGAAGAGAGGAGCUUGCUCUUCUUGGAUGAGUUGCGAACGGGUAAGUAACGCGUAGGUAACCUGCCUUGUAGCGGGGGAUAACUAUUGGAAACAAUAGCUAAUACCGCAUAACAAUGGAUGACACAUGUCAUUUAUUUGAAAGGGGCAAUUGCUCCACUACAAGAUGGACCUGCGUUGUAUUAGCUAGUAGGUGAGGCAACGGCUCACCUAGGCGACGAUACAUAGCCGACCUGAGAGGGUGAUCGGCCACACUGGGACUGAGACACGGCCCAGACUCCUACGGGAGGCAGCAGAAGGG
rnacentral:rRNA from 1 species